rnacentral:rRNA from 2 species
AUGGGUGAGAACGCGUGGGACGUACCAUUUGCUACGGAAUAACUCAGGGAAACUUGUGCUAAUACCGUAUGUGCCCGAAAGGGGAAAGAUUUAUCGGCAAAUGAUCGGCCCGCGUUGGAUUAGCUAGUUGGUGGGGUAAAGGCCUACCAAGGCGACGAUCCAUAGCUGGUCUGAGAGGAUGAUCAGCCACACUGGGACUGAGACACGGCCCAGACUCCUACGGGAGGCAGCAGUGGGGAAUAUUGGACAAUGGGCGCAAGCCUGAUCCAGCCAUGCCGCGUGAGUGAUGAAGGCCCUAGGGUUGUAAAGCUCUUUCACCGGUGAAGAUAAUGACGGUAACCGGAGAAGAAGCCCCGGCUAACUUCGUGCCAGCAGCCGCGGUAAUACGAAGGGGGCUAGCGUUGUUCGGAUUUACUGGGCGUAAAGCGCACGUAGGCGGGCUAAUAAGUCAGGGGUGAAAUCCCGGGGCUCAACCCCGGAACUGCCUUUGAUACUGUUAGUCUUGAGUAUGGUAUACGUGAGUGAAAUUCCGAGUGUAGAGGUGAAAUUCGUAGAUAUUCGGAGGAGCACCAGUGGGGGAAGGGGCUCAUUGGACCAUUACUGACGCUGAGGAACGAAAGCCUGGGCAUCGAACAGGAUUAGAUAACCUGGGGGUGCACGCCGAAUCAAUAAAUC